rnacentral:rRNA from 1 species
AUUGAACGCUGGCGGCAGGCCUAACACAUGCAAGUCGAAUGGUAACAGGAAACAGCUUGCUAUUUCGCUGACGAGUGGCGGACGGGUGAGUAAUGUCUGUGAAACUGCCUGAUGGAGGGGGAUAACUACUGGAAACGGUAGCUAAUACCGCAUAACGUCGCAAGCCCAAAGAGGGGGACCUUCGGGCCUCUUGCCAUCAGAUGUGCCCAGAUGGGAUUAGCUAGUAGGUGGGGUAACGGCUCACCUAGUCGACGAUCCCUAGCUGGUCUGAGAGGAUGACCAGCCACACUGGAACUGAGACACGGUCCAGACUCCUACGGGAGGCAGCAGUGGGGAAUAUUGCACAAUGGGCGCAAGCCUGAUGCAGCCAUGCCGCGUGUAUGAAGAAGGCCUUCGGGUUGUAAAGUACUUUCAGCGGGGAGGAAGGGAGUAAAGUUAAUACCUUUGCUCAUUGACGUUACCCGCAGAAGAAGCACCGGCUAACUCCGUG